rnacentral:rRNA from 1 species
UACGUAGGGUGCGAGCGUUAAUCGGAAUUACUGGGCGUAAAGCGUGCGCAGGCGGUUAUUUAAGUCAGGUGUGAAAGCCCUGGGCUUAACCUAGGAAUUGCGCUUGAGACUGGAUAGCUUGGAGUGCGGCAGAGGGAGGUGGAAUUCCACGUGUAGCAGUGAAAUGCGUAGAGAUGUGGAGGAACACCGAUGGCGAAGGCAGGUCUCUGGGCCGCAACUGACGCUGAGGAGCGAAAGCAUGGGGAGCGAACAGG